UAAGAAAAUCCCACAUGCCCGCCUAAAUUAUAGCCCAUACCCCCAAACCCUAAAACAAAAGUUUUUCCUCAUCUCCUUCAGCACCUCCCUACUUUUUUUCUUCUCUCUACAAACAAACCACUAGCCCCCACCCCUCUAAGCUCGUCCCAUUGCCGAAAAUCACCACGCUGUUGCUCUCAUUCCUCCGGUAGCGUGUGAGGAUAUCAUUAAUAACUAUGGGUUUGGUCCCCCAUAACACGAAGCCUUCCCAUGGCCACAUUGUUUUUUUAUAGGAUGGUUGUAGUAGGAUAAAGAUAUCUCUCUCUUGGAGUGCAGAACAAUUGAUGCUGUCCAUUAUUUUUCUUGAGCAAUAGUGCUACUUGAAGAGUUUGUUCAUUGAAAUGUUUCAGGAACAAUACAUACAGGGAAAAACUACGGUCAUACUGAACAAAUGGACAGACAUCUGGCACCCCAUGCUCUUCCAAGUGCCAAUGGUCCCGCGGACUAGAACGAAGCUUUGGACAUUAUUUCCUUUGGUACUCCUGAGCAGUCUGUUGAAGGAAUGAAAGUUGUGUGUCAUGAGUUAGCACAGGCCACUAGUGAUCCAGAUGGCAGUGCAAUGGAUGAACUUGUGAAGGAUGCAGAUAGUCUGGUUUCAUGCUUGGCAAAUAAGGCAAUUACAUUUAUGUCUCUUUAGAUGAUCACUAUCACUCCCCCAUUUCUUUCAUCAUGGUGGCUACUACUUUUGACUUCAGUCUGACUGGAGCAUCGUCACGGUCUUGCAAAUAUGUCUUGAACACGCUCAUGCAAACCUUUCAAAAUAAAAGACUCGCUCAUGCUGUCAAGGUGGAUAUUCUUGAUGGUUCCAGAAUUCUUGAAACUGGCAGAUUAGUUUGCAGUUAAUGACUCGACUUGAUCACACAAUGGUUCCAAAAUAAACGAAGACACAGGGGCUGAAUAUUAUAAGUUAUUGAUUUUUUCCAUGGUUUCUUUGGGAUGAGGAUUUUGUAUCAUGAACUUGUAGAGGUGUGCAAAUCUUAAAGGGACAAACCAAGUUGUGCUUCAGUUAUUGUCAUCUAUCUAUUUGUAUGAGAUGGAUCUAGAUUCCCUUCAACGUUAAAGUUUUAUUGACUCUUACUUAUCUAAAAGGGAAGUUUUUAUUGA